AAAACUCUAAGCGGUGGAUCACUCGGCUCAUGGGUCGAUGAAGAACGCAGCAAACUGUGCGUCAUCGUGUGAACUGCAGGACACAUGAACAUCGACAUUUUGAACGCAUAUCGCAGUCCAUGCUGUUAUGUACUUUAAUUAAUUUUAUAGUGCUGCUUGGACUACAUAUGGUUGAGGGUUGUAAGACUAUGCUAAUUAAGUUGCUUAUAAAUUUUUAUAAGCAUAUGGUAUAUUAUUGGAUAAAUAUAAUAAUUUUUAUUCAUAAUAUUAAAAAAUAAAUGAAAAACAUUAUCUCACAUUUGAAUGUGAAAAACGAAGAGAAAUAUUUUCUUUUUCAAUCAAAUAAUACUGAGAAAUGUCUAGCAUAAAAAAUUGAAAUAUUUUUCAUCUAGAAUUGUCUCUUAUUAAUGAUUCGGAAAUAGAAAAAUCUUGGUUAUGUUAUUAUUCUUCGUUGGUUCGUUAAAAAUGGAUAAAUAAAAACUUUGCAUACAAGAAUUAAUAAAAAUGUUAUAACGAAUUUAAUUAAAUGUUUUAUCAUUAUAUAUAAAGAAUUUAUGGCAAGAUAAAGUUAUAUACAACCUCAACUCAUAUGGGACUACCCCCUGAAUUUAAGCAUAUUAAUUAGGGGAGGAAAAGAAACUAACAAGGAUUUUCUUAGUAGCGGCGAGCGAAAAGAAAACAGUUCAGCACUAAGUCACUUUGUCUAUAUGGCAAAUGUGAGAUGCAGUGUAUGGAGCGUCAAUAUUCUAGUAUGAGAAAUUAACGAUUUAAGUCCUUCUUAAAUGAGGCCAUUUACCCAUAGAGGGUGCCAGGCCCGUAUAACGUUAAUGAUUACUAGAUGAUGUUUCCAAAGAGUCGUGUUGCUUGAUAGUGCAGCACUAAGUGGGUGGUAAACUCCAUCUAAAACUAAAUAUAACCAUGAGACCGAUAGUAAACAAGUACCGUGAGGGAAAGUUGAAAAGAACUCUGAAUAGAGAGUUAAACAGUACGUGAAACUGCUUAGAGGUUAAGCCCGAUGAACCUGAAUAUCCGUUAUGGAAAAUUCAUCAUUAAAAUUGUAAUAUUUAAAUAAUAUUAUGAGAAUAGUGUGCAUUUUUUCCAUAUAAGGACAUUGUAAUCUAUUAGCAUAUACCAAAUUUAUCAUAAAAUAUAACUUAUAGUUUAUUCCAAUUAAAUUGCUUGCAUUUUAACACAGAAUAAAUGUUAUUAAUUUGAUAAAGUGCUGAUAGAUUUAUAUGAUUACAGUGCGUUAAUUUUUCGGAAUUAUAUAAUGGCAUAAUUAUCAUUGAUUUUUGUGUUUAUUAUAUGCACUUGUAUGAUUAACAAUGCGAAAGAUUCAGGAUACCUUCGGGACCCGUCUUGAAACACGGACCAAGGAGUCUAACAUAUGUGCAAGUUAUUGGGAUAUAAACCUAAUAGCGUAAUUAACUUGACUAAUAAUGGGAUUAGUUUUUUAGCUAUUUAUAGCUAAUUAACACAAUCCCGGGGCGUUCUAUAUAGUUAUGUAUAAUGUAUAUUUAUAUUAUUUAUGCCUCUAACUGGAACGUACCUUGAGCAUAUAUGCUGUGACCCGAAAGAUGGUGAACUAUACUUGAUCAGGUUGAAGUCAGGGGAAACCCUGAUGGAAGACCGAAACAGUUCUGACGUGCAAAUCGAUUGUCAGAAUUGAGUAUAGGGGCGAAAGACCAAUCGAACCAUCUAGUAGCUGGUUCCUUCCGAAGUUUCCCUCAGGAUAGCUGGUGCAUUUUAAUAUUAUAUAAAAUAAUCUUAUCUGGUAAAGCGAAUGAUUAGAGGCCUUAGGGUCGAAACGAUCUUAACCUAUUCUCAAACUUUAAAUGGGUAAGAACCUUAACUUUCUUGAUAUGAAGUUCAAGGUUAUGAUAUAAUGUGCCCAGUGGGCCACUUUUGGUAAGCAGAACUGGCGCUGUGGGAUGAACCAAACGUAAUGUUACGGUGCCCAAAUUAACAACUCAUGCAGAUACCAUGAAAGGCGUUGGUUGCUUAAAACAGCAGGACGGUGAUCAUGGAAGUCGAAAUCCGCUAAGGAGUGUGUAACAACUCACCUGCCGAAGCAACUAGCCCUUAAAAUGGAUGGCGCUUAAGUUGUAUACCUAUACAUUACCGCUAAAGUAGAUGAUUUAUAUUACUUGUGAUAUAAAUUUUGAAACUUUAGUGAGUAGGAAGGUACAAUGGUAUGCGUAGAAGUGUUUGGCGUAAGCCUGCAUGGAGCUGCCAUUGGUACAGAUCUUGGUGGUAGUAGCAAAUAAUCGAAUGAGACCUUGGAGGACUGAAGUGGAGAAGGGUUUCGUGUGAACAGUGGUUGAUCACGAGUUAGUCGGUCCUAAGUUCAAGGCGAAAGCCGAAAAUUUUCAAGUAAAACAAAAAUGCCUAACUAUAUAAACAAAGCGAAUUAUAAUACACUUGAAUAAUUUUGAACGAAAGGGAAUACGGUUCCAAUUCCGUAACCUGUUGAGUAUCCGUUUGUUAUUAAAUAUGGGCCUCGUGCUCAUCCUGGCAACAGGAACGACCAUAAAGAAGCCGUCGAGAGAUAUCGGAAGAGUUUUCUUUUCUGUUUUAUAGCCGUACUACCAUGGAAGUCUUUCGCAGAGAGAUAUGGUAGAUGGGCUAGAAGAGCAUGACAUAUACUGUUGUGUCGAUAUUUUCUCCUCGGACCUUGAAAAUUUAUGGUGGGGACACGCAAACUUCUCAACAGGCCGUACCAAUAUCCGCAGCUGGUCUCCAAGGUGAAGAGUCUCUAGUCGAUAGAAUAAUGUAGGUAAGGGAAGUCGGCAAAUUAGAUCCGUAACUUCGGGAUAAGGAUUGGCUCUGAAGAUUGAGAUAGUCGGGCUUGAUUGGGAAACAAUAACAUGGUUUAUGUGCUCGUUCUGGGUAAAUAGAGUUUCUAGCAUUUAUGUUAGUUACUUGUUCCCCGGAUAGUUUAGUUACGUAGCCAAUUGUGGAACUUUCUUGCUAAAAUUUUUAAGAAUACUAUUUGGGUUAAACCAAUUAGUUCUUAUUAAUUAUAACGAUUAUCAAUUAACAAUCAAUUCAGAACUGGCACGGACUUGGGGAAUCCGACUGUCUAAUUAAAACAAAGCAUUGUGAUGGCCCUAGCGGGUGUUGACACAAUGUGAUUUCUGCCCAGUGCUCUGAAUGUCAAAGUGAAGAAAUUCAAGUAAGCGCGGGUCAACGGCGGGAGUAACUAUGACUCUCUUAAGGCCCAAGCUCUUGCAGUGGAGAAGUGAUACAAAUGGAUCACUCGCUUGAGAGGGUAUGGUCUGCUAUUACAGAGCAGGACCUUCGGGCGUCAAGAGUCUCAUUAUCCUCGUCUCCGGGCUGACGGGAUAACUCCAAAAUCUGCCAGGGAGGUGCCGUCAGGUAUUAUGCUGCGCAUAAUGAACCUAAUUCUAUGGUGCGGUAAUCUACCACACUCUAUACGACUGGCCAGAACCGUCUUCAUCCCGAAGACGGUGACGGCGAAGCGACCGCAAGACUUUCGUCCAAUAUCAGUGCCUUCAGUCCUGGUAAGACAGCUAAAUGCAAUAUUGGCAACCCGGUUGAACUCAUCAAUCAAUUGGGACCCGCGCCAGCGGGGCUUCUUACCAACCGACGGAUGCGCCGAUAAUGCGACGAUAGUCGACUUAGUCUUGAGGCAUAGCCAUAAGCACUUUAGAUCUUGCUACAUCGCAAAUUUAGAUGUAAGCAAGGCAUUUGAUUCUCUAUCACAUGCAUCUAUAUACGACACCUUACGUGCUUAUGGUGCGCCAAAGGGCUUCGUUGACUACGUACAGAACACGUACGAGGGCGGUGGUACCAGUCUCAAUGGGGACGGUUGGAGUUCAGAGGAAUUCGUCCCUGCUAGAGGAGUGAAGCAGGGUGACCCUUUGUCUCCUAUUCUAUUUAAC
rnacentral:rRNA from 1 species